AGUGCCUACGGGAGGCAGCAGUGGGGAAUAUUGGACAAUGGGGGCAACCCUGAUCCAGCAAUGCCGCGUGAGUGAUGAAGGCCUUCGGGUUGUAAAGCUCUUUCGGCGGGGAAGAUGAUGACGGUACCCGCAGAAGAAGCCCCGGCUAACUUCGUGCCAGCAGCCGCGGU
rnacentral:rRNA from 1 species